UCUCAAAGGCGUCGUAGUAUAAGAUUACACGCUUUUUGUCAUCCAAUUUCCCUCUCCCGUGUCGUGUCGUGUCUUCUUCUCUAAAAUAAAAAACCCUAACUUCUGAACCUUUCACCGCAUCGCCACCGAUUCCCUAUCUCCACUAAUCAAAGAAAAGAAAAUGAGUAGACGCUCGAGCAGAACUGUCUACGUUGGGAAUCUACCCGGUGAUAUCCGUGAAAGAGAAGUUGAAGAUUUGUUUCUGAAGUACGGACACAUAACACACAUCGACCUAAAGGUUCCCCCAAGACCACCUGGUUAUGCAUUUGUAGAGUUUGAAGAUGCUCAAGAUGCUGAGGAUGCAAUUCGUGGUCGUGAUGGCUAUGAUUUUGAUGGCCACCGGUUACGGGUGGAGCCUGCCCAUGGUGGGCGUGGUCAUUCAUCCUCAAAAGAUCGGCACAAUAGUCACAGCAAUGGCCGAGGUGGACGUGGGGUAUCUAGGCGCUCUGAAUAUCGUGUUCUAGUCACUGGAUUGCCCUCUUCGGCAUCCUGGCAGGAUCUUAAGGAUCACAUGCGCAAGGCAGGGGAUGUUUGCUUUUCUCAAGUUUUUCAUGAUGGAAGGGGUACUACCGGUAUUGUGGAUUACACAAAUUAUGAUGAUAUGAAAUAUGCUAUUAAGAAGCUUGAUGACUCUGAGUUCCGGAAUGCAUUUUCCAAGGGAUAUGUUCGGGUGAGGGAAUAUGAUUCAAGGCGGGAUUCUUCUAGAAGUCCUAGUCAUGGCCCAUCUCAUUCUAGAGGAAGGAGCUAUAGCCGCAGUCGUAGCCGUAGCCAUAGUUACAGUCGGGACCGGAGCCAAAGCAAAUCUCCAAAAGGAAAGUCUUCACAGCGUUCACCUGCUAAAUCUCCAAAAGGAAAGUCUUCACAGCGUUCACCUGCUAAAUCUCCAUCAAGAUCUCCCUCUCGUUCUCGCUCAAGGUCAAGGUCCCGUUCGUUAUCAGGAUAUGGAAACUUGCAGCAUACUGGAAAUUGGAAAUUAGGAUCUUGGUGGGAUUUGGUUCAAUUGUCUGCAACUCAUUUUGUUGUGGAGAUUGGGAACCAAGGAGAUCAUGGAUUGCCAUUUUAGAGCUGGAUUGUGUAUAAAGGCAAUUGGAUUUGAAAAUCACCACCAAUGAGCAAUAGGGACUAUCUGGAUUUGCCAAGCCAAUAGGAUGCACUAUCUGGAUUCUCUGGAUUUUGUGGUGCUGUAGGGAAGAUUUCUUUUCUCCCGAUAAUUGGUGCCUUAAUGUCACACUGAGAUGAUCACGGUCCAGGUCCAGGUCUCCAUUGCCUCCGCGUAAUAAAAGCCCCAAAAAACGCAGUGCUAGCAGGAGUCCAAGUAGGAGCAGGAGCAGGAGCAAGAGUUUGUCUCGGUAAGCUCUGAUUGUUGCAAUUGAAGAAGUUGUGGAUGAUGGUGAGUGCUACCAAGUUUUUCUAGUAAAAUUGACAUUAGCCAAAAAAGGCAUUUGGGUUUUAUAUUUGAUCUUCUUUUUAAUUGAACUUGAGACUUCUGACCUAUUGGCGUCUUAGUUUUAAUAUUGAGGAUUUGAAGGACCCUAGAUUUCUGUAAUAGACUGUUAAAUGUCAAAAACAUGUGCUAUUUGGUUAAUUAUGCCAGUUUAUUUGAUAUUGUCUUAUAUUUA